rnacentral:rRNA from 1 species
GGUGAAUAUGGGCUGGGAUGCUCGGUAAGGCAUAUGGUACUAGCGUUUAGUUGGUUUUCAGGGCGUAAAGCGGGAGGAGGUGGGUCAUUAAGGCGGUUGUGAGAUCCCUGGGCUUAAACUGGGAACUGCAGUCGAUACUGGUGAACUAGAGUGCGGUAGAGUGGGGCGGAACGCCGGGUGUAGCGGUGAAAUGCGUAGAGAUCCUGAAGAACACCGAUGGCGAAUGCAACCACCUGGGCCUGCACUGACGCUGAGGUACGAAAGCGUGGGGAGCAAACAGGAUUAGAUACCCCAGUAGUC